rnacentral:rRNA from 1 species
AUACGGAUGGUGCAAGCGUUACUCGGAAUUACUGGGCGUAAAGCGUCCGCAGGCUUCUUCCCAAGUCUGGUGUUAAAGUGCGGAGCUCAACUCCGUGACGUGCCGGAAACUAGGAGGAUAGAGUCAUACAGAGGCAACUGGAAUUACGUGUGUAGGGGUAAAAUCCGUUGAUCCACGUAGGAACGCCAAAAAGUGAAAACAGGUUGCUGGGUAUGUACUGACGCUCAGGGACGAAAGCGUGGGGAGCGAAGGGGAUUAGAUACCCCCGUAGUCCACGCCCUAAACGAUGCGUGCUCGGUGUCGGAAAUUCAAUCUAUUUCGGUGCCCAAGCUAACGCGGUAAGCACGCCGCCUGAGUAGUACGAUCGCAAGAUUAAAAACUCAAAAGGAAUUGACGGGGCCCGCACAAGCGGUGGAGCAUGUGGUUUAAUUCGAAGCAACGCGCAGAACCUUACCAACCCUUGACAUCCUCGGACCGCCAGAGAGAUCUGGUUUUCACUUCGGUGACCGAGUGACAGGUGCUGCAU